rnacentral:rRNA from 1 species
AUUGAACGCUGGCGGCAGGCCUAACACAUGCAAGUCGAACGAGUGGCGGACGGGUGAGUAAUGGCUGGGAAACUGCCUGAUGGAGGGGGCUAACUACUGGAAACGGUAGCUAAUACCGCAUACCAUGGGAUGUGCCGAGAUGGGAUUAGCUAGUAGGUGGGGUAACGGCUAACCUAGGCGACGAGCCCUAGCUGGUCUGAGAGGAUGACCAGCCACACUGGAACGGAGACACGGUCCAGACUCCUACGGGAGGCAGCAGUGGGGAAUAUUGCACAAUGGGCGCAAGCCUGAUGCAGCAAUGCCGCGUGUAUGAAGAAGGUCUUCGGGUUGUAAAGUACUUUCAUCGGGGAGGCGUUACCCGCAGAAGAAGCACCGGCUAACUCCGUGCCAGCAGCCGCGGUAAUUC